GCCUGACAUGCAUAGGGCUGGAGCAGAGAAAAAUUGAUUAAUUCAGCCAGCACAGUGAGAGAGAAGCCUGACUGACACCACCAUUAAUUAGGAAAAAUUUUGAGAGUUUCAAGUCUUCCCUUCCUCACCUUCAGGCUAUUGUGGAUUCUGAAAGAACAGGUUUAAUCUCCUAAAAACUCAGUGACUAUUAAAUCUGUACUUGGGCCAAACAGGUUGUCUGGUGGCACAACAGAGCCCUCCUAAAGUCACAGCACACCACAGUGAGUCUGGAGAGACCAAGUGAAGAAAAGGGGGUAGCUGGUUUUAAGUAUCUCUGAUGACAUACUC